CACCUGCUAGGCCUAGGCUGGAGCCCUCUGCCUCUGCUCACGAGGACCAGCAGCUGUGUCCUUACAGGUCCUUAGGGAGCCACAGAACAGCCCCACCCUGGUCCACCCCAUCCCAGGCUCAGCUUUCUAGGCAAGGGUCAGAGUCAGGGCCUAGGGUGGGACUUGGCCAGCCCAGGGGAGGAGGCUGGUGUGCAUGAAGAGACCCUCCUUCAUCCUGGGCUGCUGGCGAAAGUAAUAGGGACUGGGGGAGCUCAAGCCCAGCUGAGUGUCAUCAGGAUGCAGAGCUGUGUGUGGGUCCC